GCAAAAGCAAGAUUACCUGAGGAAAAAAGAAAAAAAGAUUAGCAUUGUACAAAACCAUACAUAAUGUCUUAUUAUACUAAACCAUUACAAUUUCCCUUUUUUAGUCCAAGCCCUAUGGAGGACCACAAGAGUCAUGCAAAAUGUAAUAAAUAACUUCAAUUUUUAAUAACUACCUGGACAAUAAAAAUAGCAAUUAAUAGAUUUGUUUAAAAAUUCAUUAAUUAAUCUAUAAAUAAAUAGACAAAGUUACAAAAAAAAUCAUUAUGUAACAUUUUAUUAGGCAAUAAAAAAUGAGAUUAUAAAAAUAACAUAGAAAUGAAAUAUUAAUCCAUUAAUAAAUAAUUCAAAUUAAUAUAACAAUUUAUAAAAACAACAUAAAAUACGGUCAGGGGAUCUCUGGAUAAUCCGUAAUUCGUUUGUAAUUAUAAAACGAAAAUACCGCUUUUCUGUUUUUUGUUUCAAAACGAAAAACCAAAUAACCGUUAUUUGUGUCAGAAUCAAAAAACGAAAAACCAAUUAAAAACGGCCGGUUUUUCGUUUUUGGCGAUCAGUUUGAUCGUUAUUCCUUUUUGAACAAAGAAUGAACAGAGUCUUUGAACUUCAAUCAAUUCGUUUUUCGUUUAUAACAAGUGGUGCUCGCUGCAGAGCCAAAUGGGCGGAGCUGGAGCUCUAGCGAGGCGGGGCACCCCCGCUGGAUCUAGUGGGCGUGGCAGCAUCAAGUGCGCAGGCGCCGAUAGAGUUUGUUUAAACUAACUGUACAGCCUGUAUCAAGUACUCCGGAGUAUUGCACGGUGCACCAGACAAUACUUUUGCGAGGACAGGAUCUUCUGCUGUCUAUAUCACUGUGCCUACUGUAAAUAACCAUUUACACGAGCUCUGAAAUCAUGCAGUUCAACUAAAAGAUUUUAUCAUCAUCAAGCAUGGUCUCAAGUGCAGACGAUCCCACACUUUCACUGCUGUUACUGGACAUCAACAUUUUAAAAUGUGUAAAAAUCCAGAGGGACAUCCUCCCAUUGGCUGCAGCACCACCUUCAUCCCCAGCAUCAGCAUCCCCACCUUUAUUUCCCCUCGACAUUGGAACAUGUCUGUACUGAUUUUGAGAGUGCCCCUCUACAGCUAGGAGGAAUUGAUUGUGGGGUAUUUAUGUUGAUGUCAAGUCCCACAACUACUCACCCAGGAAGUAACAUAUGCAGAUAACAUGAAAUUCACUUCACCUGAGUCAGAUGUCAUGGAGAUCACCCAGACACCAGAAGUAGAUCACACAGGACUCAGCGGUGAUGAGAAACAUUCAGCUGACCUGUGAGUGGGUAAAGGAGACCACUUGCUGGGAAGAUGAGCUGGAAAAGAUCUAAAGGAUGAUGCCCUGUUGGCUUUGACAACGUUGGAGUUGUUUAUAAACACUGUGUUUUAUGAGGGUGAAAGGAAUGAAGAAGAAAUGUUGACUCCCUUCCCUUUUAUAUUUUAGAGAAGGGCAGGAGAUAUAUAAGACAAAAGAGUUAUUCGUGGGUUUUGUUUACACAAACAAACCAUGUCUUGUGAAUCUACUAGUGGGGAUAGACUAAUUUAAAUAUUGAUUUUUUGAUUGGUUUU